rfam:Zootermopsis nevadensis contig26532, whole genome shotgun sequence.
GCCAUGAUGGUCUAGCGGUUAGAACGCUGGCCUUGUAAUCCUGGGGUCUCGGGUUCGAUUCCCGGCGGUGCCC